rnacentral:rRNA from 1 species
AGCGGACGCUGGCGGCAGGCCUAACACAUGCAAGUCGAACGAACCCUUCGGGGUUAGUGACGGACGGGUGAGUAACACGUGGGAACGUGCCUUUAGGUUCGGAAUAACUCAGGGAAACUUGUGCUAAUACCGAAUGUGCCCUUCGGGGGAAAGAUUUAUCGCCUUUAGAGCGGCCCGCGUCUGAUUAGCUAGUUGGUGAGGUAAUGGCUCACCAAGGCUACAAUCAGUAGCUGGUCUGAGAGGAUGACCAGCCACAUUGGGACUGAGACACGGCCCAAACUCCUACGGGAGGCAGCAGUGGGGAAUCUUGCGCAAUGGGCGAAAGCCUGACGCAGCCAUGCCGCGUGGAUGAUGAAGGUCUUAGGAUUGUAAAAUCCUUUCACCGGUGAAGAUAAUGACUGUAGCCGGAGAAGAAGCCCCGGCUAACUUCGUGCCAGCCGCCGCCGUAACAC